UAGAAUAUAGUAAGGUGAUAUGCAAUGAUAACGUUUGACUUCUUCGAUUAAGCAAACAUUAAUUAAUAAAAGAAUAAUACGUCGUAAGUUUAGCGUAAUAAAUGAAAAAUCAGGUAUAGUGUAAGCAGAAAAAUUGUGGAUUCGAAUAGUCAGAUACGGUAUAGUAAUAGACAUUCCAACAAAACAUUGGGGCAUAAUUAAUGUUGAUAUAUAAGGCAUAUUUACAUACAUAAAAGCCCUACAACUUAAAGGCGUACAGCUCUACGCUAGACCGUGUUGCUCUGGCAUCUCUCACGGCCACCUAUACCGACUCGGAGGGCGAAGACGGGGUGGAAGACGACCUUCAGGAGAAUUC
rnacentral:misc_RNA from 1 species